rnacentral:rRNA from 1 species
UACGUAGGGGGCGAGCGUUAUCCGGAAUCAUUGGGCGUAAAGGGCGCGUAGGCGGAUAUUUAAGUCAGGUGUGAAAACCCAGGGCUCAACCUUGGGAUUGCAUCUGAUACUGGGUAUCUUGAGGACAGGAGAGGAAAGUGGAAUUCCUAGUGUAGGCGGUGAAAUGCGUAGAUAUUAGGAGGAACACCAGUGGCGAAGGCGC